AAAGGCUCCCCACUCUCUAGUCGUCUACCCUCGCGUCCAUUUCUCUUCAUUCAUCCACUAGGACCACUACCGGCGAAGGUUCGUCGUUGAUCGGAAACCCUAGUUCUGCAAUUUCCGAUAGAAAUUUUUAGUUCUAGAGGAAAUCUCUACGACCGCUUCUAAUAAGAUUGAUUGAUUAGUCUUGCGAUGGGGAAGGAUGCCAACCAGAACGUUGUCGGAAUCGACGGCGAAGGAGGAAGCGACGAGGAUCGGAUAAUCGAUUGGGAGGAUGGGCUGCCAAGUGGAGAUGAUCUCACUCCUCUUUCUUUGCCUCUGGUUCCGCCGGCGCUCGCAUCGGCCUUCAGUAUCCCCCCUGCUGAACUUAAAACCAUGCUCGAAGUUCAUAGAGCUAGUCAACACACCAUCUCCAGUCUCUCGGUCCGCCGUAAACCCUCCGCUUCUUCUCCUCUAAAUGGAUCGCUGAAGCCCUUAGCAUCCGGUGGUGCAGCUGAUGAUGGAAACUGCUUCAUGGUUCUCGAAGCUGAAGAUCCGGAGGAAUCUCCUCUUUCGGAAACCUCGGGAAGGCUGCCGGAACUUGGACCCGAGGAGGCUGUUGAUUCGUCUGCCCUACAUGGGGAAAAUUCCGUGGACGACCAGCGGGCUCUGAAACGACCGCGGCUGGUCUGGACGCCGCAGCUUCACAAGAGGUUUGUGGACGUGAUCGCCCAUCUGGGCAUCAAGAACGCGGUCCCCAAAACCAUUAUGCAAUUGAUGAACGUGGAUGGGUUAACUAGGGAGAACGUUGCGAGCCACCUCCAGAAGUACAGACUCUACCUCAAGCGGAUGCAGGGGUUUUCUAAUGAGGGCCCUUCUUCCUCGGAUCAUGUCUUUGCAUCUACUACCGUGCAGCAAAACCUACAGGAGCUGCAGCAGCAGCCGCGGCCGCCGUCAAUGCCUAUGCCUUACAACGUGCCGACGAUGAUCCCAAUGCCAAUCUACGCCAUUCCACAUCAUCCGUCCCAUGGUGUGGUUCCGUUAAAUAAUCAUCAGGGAGGCAUGUCAUGCCAUGGAUUUGAUGCUCAUAAUCCUUAUGGGGCGAAUAAUUGGGCAGGUGAUUUCAAUUUUGGGUCGAUUGUUUCUUAUCGUUAUGUUUCGCGCAAUUAUAAAUAAAGGGGGAUUUACCUACAUACUAUUUUAUUUUAUGCUAGUUAUAUAUCUUACAUCUAAAACUUUAACAUCACAUUCCUACCACUUAUAUAAAAUUACACCCAUACAAUCCUAUAAACUUUAAUAUUUCAUUCCAUGCACCCAUAUCUAUAAUCUCUCCUGGUUUCCUGAUCAUCGAUCUUGUUAUUAAUCUCAAAGCCUUCUAUCGCGGAUCUCUAAUCUCACUGUUGAUCUUGUUGGUGAACUGCAAGAAGCAUUCUAGCUUGCCCUAUACGAGAAUCGCUUGCACAUCCUAAGCUGGCUUGCUUGUGAUCAGUCACAACCCAACCAUUGGUAUUAAUAGCGAAUUUGCUCACUAUACGACUCCCGAUUUCUUAGGUGAAUAACACUAGAUAGUUCUCUACUUGAAGCUUCUUCUAUUUUCAACCAUUCUUGGCUCUAAUUUUAGUAAUUCCAUAUCUCUAAAAAGAUCAUAUCUCUCUGUUGUGAGGAAUGUUCAUAUCUUGCGAAAUAUAACAAACACAGCCACUAAUAAUUUGGAUAUUUUUGGUGUUUAACUCUUAAAUAAAAAUUAUUCUACAUAAAAUUUUAAUUUUGAUUCUUUGUUAUGGGAAAAAAGUUAUGGGAUCAUGUUGAUGGAAGUGAUCAUAUUCUCUCUAAAUCUCCAAAAUUGGAUCAAUGGCAAAAUGAAGUGUCAAACGUCAUGACUUGGACCUUAGGAUUUGUUGAUCAUGCUAUUUUUCCUUAUUUGAGGCCAUAUAAAACAAAAAGAAUAUAUAAGAAUAUUUCUAAAAAGUUUACAAUGAAGAUAGUAUACCAAACGUAAGGAGGCUUCUCAAUUAAGGAUUAUUUUUGGGCUUCAAAACUUUUAAUUAGAAUUAGCUGAUAUGAUAUAAUCUAUGCAAAAGUACCUUAUGAAUGUAAUUUUUUUAUUCAAGAGGUUCUUGAACAAAGCAAAUGACUUCAAUUAAUGAUAAAACUUCAUCUUGAAUUUGAGCUGGUUCGUUCCAAUUUGACGAAUCAUGACACUUCAUCUUUGGUGGUGUGCUUUAGAGACUUAUUUGUUGGAAGCAUAGGCUUGCGAUGCAAAUUAUAUUUCAAAUUCAAUCAUACAAGAUUGAUGUUGCAUAUGCAGCUCAUGUGAAGAAUAAAAAGGCAUGCAUUGAUACAAUGUUACACUUGCAAGAAUUUCGUACAUGUUCAUGCUAAUUGUGCAAAUAAGGUUUAGCAUAUAUCAUGAGAAGUUGGGCAUGUGAUCAAGGUAUAUUGAAAACAUUAGCAUAAUCGAUAAUCAAAUUUAACAUAAGUAAUCACUAUAAUAUUUAGGUUGUAGGUUUAGAAGCCCUUAGACAAAUCUGAUGUUACCCUUGAGAUAGUUCAAUUGAUGAUAAUUAAAUCUUUAAUUACUUUAGGGCUUCUAAGUAUGAAUGCGCUACUCUCUUCAUAUUGGUUUGUGGAUUCUAGUGCUUUUAAUUAAUGACUGACACUACAUCUGUUUGAUAAUAUUUGACCAUGGCAUGGAUCAUUUAUUCAUGUUGCUAAUGAUAAUCAAUUAUCUAUCAAAACUAUUGGGCAUGUUAAUCAUGUAGUGAAAGAUAUUCUCAUAUCUCAUAUACUAUCAACUACUAUCAUUUCAGUAAAAAGAUUGGUUGAUAAUAACUUUGAUGUUUGAUUUUCUCGUAAUGGUUGCACUCUGCAGGAUCAAGAGAUGAGCAAAAUACUCAUGAAGGAGUUUAAAGUUGGACAACUAUUUUCUUUUUAUCCUUCCAUUUCGAAGGUAUGUCAUGAGAGGAUCAAGCAUAUUGAAGAUGAUUGUUACUCAAUUCGGGAAGGCUUCUCUACUCAUUAUUUUUCCUCCUCACAUCUUCACAAACCUUCAAGUGGCAAACAUUUACGAAGACAUUGACUAGAUUAAAAACAUCAAUUUCUUGUAAGCAAGCUGAUACUUCUUGACCAGUAGUAUCAAUUUUUAGAUAAUACAUGUAUAUAAUUUAUUGAAAAUUAAUCUCCACAAAUUAUGGUUUGCUCGGCUCUUUGCUUAGCACUUUAUUGAGUUGCGUGCUCAUGAAUGUCACCUCGCCUUUUUGUGUACUCUUUUUUUUGUAAUUAAUCAUAUAACUAAAUUUUUGCUCUUGAUUUUGUAUACUUCCUAUUAUAUAAUUCUCCUAAGGUUGUAUAAAUGUGGGCCAAAAUAUGGAAUAAACCUCAAUUGUGCUAAACUCUUAUUGACAUUUUGGGCCAACUAGUUUGGGAAUUGGGCUGGGAUUAUCUUCCCAAACCACUAUAGGAGCUAGGUUUACCUACUAAAUUGAUGUGUAACUAUCAAGAAGGUCUUUUAAAGGAGCUACGCUCCAAACUUGGGCGAUACUGAGGUAAUGGUGAUUGAGCUCUGACUGGGACUCCUUGCUUAAAGGAUGGAUCUAAACUGAGAGACCUCUGAGGGUCAAAGAAGAAGGCAAUAUGAUCCUAGGAGAAAGGAGUUCUUGUUUUAUAACUCUUUUGUAUUGGUUGGAGCAGGAGUUCUAAGGCAUUCCUUAUUUGAUUGGUCUGCCUAUUUCUAGUCUGUAGUUCUUUCUGGCUUAUUGUCCUCAUCAUUGUUGUCAUAUCAGAAGAUUUUUCAACAAGGUUUAGUUUUUACUUCUUUGUCUAGAUCAUAAAAGAGAAUUCAAAUUUAUGUGUUAGGUAAAAGGAGAUUGCAAAAUACUUCAGUGCAACAUUUGCUAAAAAGAUAACUAGAUUGGGCAUUUACGGUUUAAUAUAAAAGAGAACAAUUUGUUUUUCUACUAUGUUUUGUUUUAGAUUUCUUUAAAGAAUUUCUAAUCUAGGUAAAUGUGUUUUUGCAACAAUUGGGCAGUGAAAUUAGAGCCUAUAAGCUCUCUAGUGACUGAGUUUGCAUUCGUCUUGCAAGCUUGUGACUUAAUUGACUAUGCAGAGGAGAUUACUAGCUCAGCAACAAUGGUGACAUUGUCAUGUUUCCUUUAACCCAAACUUUUUGCAGUUAAAAAAGUCUUUACAUUUGCCUUAUGUUUUUCAUUUUGUUUGAUCUUUUUCCUUUAUUUAUUUUUUCAUUAUUUAAAUAUUUAAGUAUGUUUAUGACACUAUAAUGUCAUCAGUGAAGUUGACCUACCCCGUUGAAGCAUGGAGAACAUGGUGGGAAUUCAAUAAUCCGGCGACACACCCUCCAAUAGUUGUCUGCUCUUUUUCUGAGUGGAGAGGACUAUGAUAAUAUAAUCUUAAUGGUGUGCCACUUUUUGAUGCUCAGGAAGAAGAUUACGUUGAAAGGUUUUGCACAUUGUUAAAAGCUGUUAACGAAAGUAAAAUUUCAAGUCUGCUUAUGUUGAUUAUAGGGUACUUAUUGGCUUCACUUGCAUACUAAGGUUUCGUUUGGGACGGCUUUCUUACUGCUUCUUAAAAUAGUUUUUUAGUAUUAAAAUUUUGAUUUUUAACUAGAAAGUUGCUUUAUGAAACAGGAAGAAAGCCGUCCCAAACGAAGCUUAAAUGACAAAACCACCACCCUUCCCUUCUCCUGCGGUCAUCCUUUCUAACAAAUUAUUGGUUUUUUAGAUAUGCACUUGCGAGCUUCCAUUCAUACUGCUCGUUCAACUUACUUUCAUUUAGGGCUAGUGAACAAAACAAGUUGACAAACAUGUUGAAGUUUCUUGCUUUCAAAUUAGAUUAACAUACAUGAAAACUGCAACUACUUAUCCAUGCGUCGGAUAUCCUUCAGAGUGUCAUUUUUAAAUUAUUUUAUGGUCAAGGAAAGGGCAACAUUACCCUUUGAAACGCACCAAUUUUUGCAUUCCAUCGUUAUUUAACUUAUUUUCUUGACCCCAUUCAAGCCAAGUGGAAAUUCAAUUAUGGUCAUCGAACGUCAAAAUGGAUUCAACUUUUUGCAUGUCAACAAGUUUUCCGAUUCAUCCGAAUGGAAGAUACAGGUAAGUUUCCUCUCAAUCCUAGCCGAUGAUCUUCCUCUAAGGUUUAGUCUUCAACCAUAAGAUCUUGGAUGGUGCUCGAAGAUAUUAUUGAUAUGCGCAGAUAUCUAUGUGCUAAGAGUGCAUAAGGGCUUACACUUACACUUAGGCUUCAUUUGGGAUGGUUUUCUUACUGCUUUUAAAAGUAGCAUUCUAGUAAAAAAUUUUAAUUUUUGUACUAAAAAUUUACUUUAAGAAGCAUGAGAAAGUCGUCCCAAACGAAGUCUUAAUCAUGCAAAUUUUUUCCUUACUGUAUAUUUAUAGAAUGCGCCAUCUCUGAGCGUAAGCAACAUUACUGAUACUUCUUAUUUUUCUGUAAGGUUUUGCUAGUUAUAAUGAGACUUUAUAAUUUUAUUUCAUA